AAUUAUUUCUCCCUGACUGAGAUAAUAGCCAUGCAGCUAACCUGGUACAGUGUAAAAUCAGCCAAAUUUGUAGUAGCCAGCCCUCACUGUGACAUUUGUGGACUGAUGGGCAUGGGAAAGUUACCCAAUCUCAAGAAGAAUCAACUUCCUCUUUUAAAAAAACAAAAAAGUGGAGGGAUGAUCACAAUACCUAACGUGCAAGCUAAUAUAUGUAGCAGAACACAGGGUGAUCCAACAGAGCAUUAUUUACCUAUGAUUCUAGAAUUCCAGCAAAAUGACGAAAACAUGGAAGGUGCACGGGAUGGGGUUCCAGAGCCCCUGCUGAGAUCAUGAUUCCUGUCUAUAUCAGCAGAGAGAAGACCCUUCCUCUUCAGGAGGCUGCCCAACCACUUCUGUGGGUUGGGUCUGCAUUAAAGAUCUGGGAUUUCUAUGCUUUCUCUCUGCAGCAGAUAAUAACCAUACUGAAUGCUCACUGAGAGAAAAAAAAUAUAUGAAGUCUAAAUUUAAAACCAUCCAAAGUAACUAUUGCUGCUUUUAAAAGAUGAUGAGCUAAUGCCGAAAUGCCUGUGAAGACAGAAGAACAAAAGAAAACGUUGCAGGCUAAAGUAUCUGACAAGAAUGGGGAAAGUGUGCCAUGGAUUGCAGAAUUUAUCUCAUUGAGAUGGGAACAGAAAACUGAUGCAUGAUACUUCAAAAGAGAAAAAAAGUCUGUCAUGAAUCUUCUGAGUCUAGAGAGCCCGGAAAUAAUCCUGGCAAGCCACUUUUGUUAGAACAACAACCAAGAGGAGAUUUGGAGUGACUUUUUAUCGUUUUCUUAACACCAGUCCAGUGAAGAACCCAACUGGUGGUAGUAUGCAUCCAGGCCAAUGUUCCAAACUAUUUGAGAAAGGUGGCUACCAGAGAAAUUUAAAAUUGAAUAUAUGAACUGCAUCAUACUCAGAGUGGCCCGCACUGGGGUGCAAACACUUAGGAUCCAGCACUGCUGGAGUUGACCACUAACAGGAUGAGUACAACACAGGCCUGUGUCUUGCCUCCCCCAGAUGUCCAGACCUCUGCACAGCAGCAGCAGGACAAGAGAGAAUUAUGCAGAUAAACACCUGCUGGUCAAUUCAAGAGCCCGACCCUUAGGGGGAGAACACUAGACUAAGGUGGUAAGUCUCUCAUUCCCCAUUGUCCUACUGCCCCAGUCCUAGUUCAUAUCAUCUCUUCCACAGCCAACAUCUGAGACUCCAGGGGCAACUGACUUGUCAUAGUUGGAGCCCCAACUCUUCCAUCUUUAACCUCUACUCUUUGACCGACAACCUUUUUUGGAAGGGGCUUCAAGUAGGAAUUUUGGUAGUAUUCUUAGAAUUUUUAAAAAGAAAAAUCUUCAAUAGUUAUUGAUAACUUAUGCAAGUAUGGUUGAAUAUGAAUUUAGUGUUAUUUGAAAGUCUUUGCCAUUGGGAAAACAAAUCUUCAAACAACAUUUCAUCAAAGUGAGAUUCUGAUGUAGCAGAAACAACUCUAAGUUACUUACAAUGCAUAUUACAGGGCCCUACCACCAGGAAUAAUGAUUAAUAGACCACAACCAAGAAAAAGGAAUCUCAAUUUAAACAUCUUUACAGUUACUCCUAUAAAUAAAAUAUGUGAUGCA